rnacentral:sRNA from 1 species
GUGAAAUGUACUUACCGCACUUGCGAGCUAACAAACCUGAAAUCAAUUGCAGGUGUACCAGUUUCCCUGGUGUUGGCGCAUAAUUCGCGCACCCCGGCUUCGGU